GCCUCUACUCGUAAGCUAUCACUUGGGGAUGGGCCUGCGCGCCAUUAGCUAGUUGGUGGGGUAACGGCUCACCAAGGCGACGAUGGCUAGUUGGUCUGAGAGGAUGACCAGCCACACUGGGACUGAGACACGGCCCAGACUCCUACGGGAGGCAGCAGUGGGGAAUAUUGCGCAAUGGGGGAAACCCUGACGCAGCGACGCCGCGUGGGUGAUGAAGGCCUUCGGGUCGUAAAGCCCUGUCGGAGGGGAAGAAGGACUGGCGGUCGAAUAGGCCGCUGGUCUGACGGUACCCUUAGAGGAAGCACCGGCUAACUCCGUGCCAGCAGCCGCGGUAAUACGGAGGGUGCAAGCGUUGCUCGGAAUUACUGGGCGUAAAGGGCGUGUAGGCGGUUUCGUAUGUCUGGCGUGAAAGCCCCGGGCUCACCUCGGGAAGUGCGUCGGAAACUGCGAGACUAGAGUCCCGGAGAGGGAGGUGGAAUUCCAGGUGUAGCGGUGAAAUGCGUAGAUAUCUGGAAGAACACCGGUGGCGAAGGCGGCCUCCUGGACGGUGACUGACGCUGAGACGCGA
rnacentral:rRNA from 1 species